AAAUACUUACCUGAAGCUUGGUUAACAUCUCUUUAAACCUGGUAAACAACCCUGCCUCAUCUCCCUGUAGUGUUUCUCAUAUGAGUUUGCAAGGAUGGCUUGGAAAAGGUAUUUAGAUGGAGGAGAUGUAGGCAUAUCAAAUUCACAAUCUUCUUGAAUUGUCCCUUCUUGUUAUUGAGGAAAUGGUGGUGAUGGUGUCAUACCCCAAAAAUUU
rnacentral:lncRNA from 1 species